rnacentral:rRNA from 1 species
CAGCAAUGUUUUAAGCGGACUGAUACUAAUAGAUCGAGGGCUUGACCAU